UCGCCUGUUUAUCAAAAACAUGGUCUCUUGAAUUGAUUAAGAGAUUUAACCUGCCCACUGAAAAUUUUGAAGGGCCGCAGUAUUUUGACUGUGCCAAGGUAGCAUAAUCAUUAGCCUUUUAAUUAAGGGCUAGUAUGAAUGGUUGGAUGAGGUAAAUUCUGUUUUAUGUUAAUUGAAGUUGAAUUUAUAUUUUAAGUAAAAAGACUUAAAUGAAUUAAGGGACGAGAAGACCCUAUAGAGUUUAAUAAAUUUAAUAUUUAUUGAGUUAUUAAAAAAUUUUUGGUUGAUAUGAAAUUUAUUUAAUUGGGGUGAUUAGAAGAUAUAAUUAACUCUUCUUUAUUUAUAAAUAAUAUAUUUAGUUUAAUGAUCCAUAUUUAAUGAUUAAAAGAUUAAAUUACCUUAGGGAUAACAGCAUAAUUUUUCUUGAGAGUUCAUAUUGAGAGAGAAGAUUGUGACCUCGAUGUUGGAUUAAGAUUAGUUUUGGGUGUAGAUGUUUAAAUACUAGGUCUGUUCGACCUUUAAAUUCUUACAUGAUCUGAGUUCAAACCGGAGA
rnacentral:rRNA from 1 species